rnacentral:rRNA from 1 species
CAUUAGUGAACGCCCUCACGGGCUUAUAACUAUUCCAAACCUCUGUGAACCGUGCCCUUCGGGGCUAUUUUACAAACAUGGUGUAAUGAACGUCAUAUAUCAUAACAAAACAAAACUUUCAACAACGGAUCUCUUGGCUCUCGCAUCGAUGAAGAACGCAGCGAAAUGCGAUAAGUAAUGUGAAUUGCAGAAUUCAGUGAAUCAUCGAAUCUUUGAACGCACCUUGCGCCCUCUGGUAUUCCGGAGGGCAUGCCUGUUUGAGUGUCAUGUAGACUCAAUCCCUCGGGUUUCCGAGGAGAUUGGACUUGGGUGUUGCCGCUCUGCCGGCUCGCCUUAAAAGACUUAGCGGGAUAGCACCGUAGUCGGCGUAAUAAGUUUCGUCGGUGAAGGUUGUGAUGACUGCUUACAAUCGCCCUCGGGCAAUUUUUGACUCUGACCUCAAAUCAGGUAGGACUACCCGCUGAACUUAAGCAUAUC